GCUCAGGAUGAACGCUAGCUACAGGCUUAACACAUGCAAGUCGAGGGGUAGCAGGGUAGCAAUACCGCUGACGACCGGCGCACGGGUGAGUAACACGUAUCCAACCUUCCCAUAACUCGGGGAUAGCCUUUCGAAAGAAAGAUUAAUACCCGAUAGUACUUUUUUAGGGCAUCUUAGAAAAGUUAAAGAUUUAUUGGUUAUGGAUGGGGAUGCGUUCCAUUAGAUAGUUGGUGAGGUAACGGCUCACCAAGUCUUCGAUGGAUAGGGGUUCUGAGAGGAAGGUCCCCCACAUUGGUACUGAGACACGGACCAAACUCCUACGGGAGGCAGCAGUGAGGAAUAUUGGUCAAUGGGCGA
rnacentral:rRNA from 1 species